rnacentral:rRNA from 1 species
UUAAAAUGUAAAUAAAUUAUCUAAAUUAUUAAUAGUUAUAUUCUUUAAAUUUAAUGAAUUUGACGGUAUUAUAAUCUAUUUAGAGGAACCUGUAUUUUAAUUGAUAAUCCACGAUAAAUUUUACUUAAUUUUGUAAUCAGUUUGUAUACCGCCGUUAUCAGAAUAUUUUAAAAGAAACUUAAUUUUCUAAAUUUUUUUUAUUAAAAUAAUUUCAGGUCAAGGUGCAGCUAAUAAUUAAGUUAAUAUGGGUUACAAUAAAAUUAUUUAUAUGAAUUUAAUUUUUUAAAUAAAAUUAUUAAAGUGGAUUUAAAAGUAAAUUAAAUUAUUUCAUUUAAUUGAAUUUAGCUCUAUAAUAUGU